GUCUGAAGUCUGAAAUGGGUCUCAAGAAGCUAAAAUCAAGAUGUUAGCAGAGUUGUGUUCCUUCUGAAAACUCUAGCCAUGUAGGAUGUGCCUCCUUCUUCUUUGCCUUUUGCCAUGAUUGUAAGUUACCUGAGGACUCCACAACCAUGCUGCCUGUACAGCCUGCAGAACUAUGGAGUCUCACUCUGUCACCUCGGCUGGAGUGCAGUGGAGCAAUUUUGGUUCACUGCAACCUCUGCCUCCUGAGUUUCAGCGAUUCUCCUGCCUCAUCCUCCUGAGUAGUUGGGACUACAGGACACAGUGAGGAGACAGGCAGCGGCAAGCCAGAAGGAGAGCUCUUACUAGGAACCAAAUUGCCUGGCACCUUGAUCUUGGACUUCCUAGCCUCCAGAACUGUGAGAGGUAAGUGUCAAUUGGUUAAGCUAUCCAGUCUAUGGUAUUU